GUGCCAGCAGCCGCGGUAAUACGUAGGCAGCGAGCGUUGUUCGGAGUUACUGGGCGUAAAGAGUGCGUAGGCGGUUUUCUAAGUUUGGUGUGAAAUCUCCCGGCUUAACUGGGAGGGUGCGCCGAAGACUGGAAGGCUUGAGUAUGGGAGAGGUAAGCGGAAUUCCUGGUGUAGCGGUGAAAUGCGUAGAUAUCAGGAGGAACACCUGCGGUGUAGACGGCUUACUGGACCAUCACUGACGCUGAGGCACGAAAGCGUGGGUAGCAAACAGGAUUAGAUACCCUGGUAGUCC
rnacentral:rRNA from 1 species